rnacentral:sRNA from 1 species
AGCUCCUAAAACAAUGAGAUGUGAACUUGCCAAGUAGGUACCUUCGGGCGGACCUACUACCUGAUUUAGCUGAUUUUUCCUGGGCUGGGAACCUGUAUUGCAUGUACCAAUCCUGUCUUUCAUUAAUUUUCCUAUGUUCCUGUUAUAUUCUUGGCGUUGUUCAACACUAAGCAUUCCUCCUGUAUAACCAACUCUUGCCUGUAUUUAACAUCAC